rnacentral:siRNA from 1 species
UGGGAUUCCGGUUAGUAUAGUG